ACUCAAAUGAAUUGACGGGGGCCCGCACAAGCGGUGGAGCAUGUGGCUUAAUUCGAUGCAACGCGAAGAACCUUACCUGGCCUUGACAUGUAUGUAGUAGAAGGAUGAAAGUCUGACGAGGUAGCAAUACCAGCAUACACAGGUGCUGCAUGGCUGUCGUCAGCUCGUGCCGUGAGGUGUUCGGUUAAGUCCGGUAACGAGCGCAACCCUUAUGACUUGUUGCUAAUCCGAGUAAUCGGAUGCACUCUAGUCAGACUGCCCUGCAUAACGGGGAGGAAGGUGGGGAUGACGUCAAGUCAGUAUGGUCCUUACGGCCAGGGCUGCACACGUGCUACAAUGCCCAGUACAGAGGGAAGCCAACUCGCGAGAGGGAGCCAAUCCCAGAAAACUGGGCUCAGUUCAGAUUGUAGGCUGCAACUCGCCUACAUGAAGCUGGAAUCGCUAGUAAUGGCGCAUCAGCUACGGCGCCGUGAAUACGUUCCCGGGCCUUGCACACACCGCCCGU
rnacentral:rRNA from 1 species